GAUGUGAUUUCAUUUUUUCCCAUAAGGUUAUUUAAGGUUCGUAGGCGGUGGUGUGUGUGUGUGUGUGUGUGACUCGAGGCUCAGGGGACGGGAGGGCCACACGUCAACACUCAACUACCAAGUGAAGUGAUCGAUAUCCAAGUGUCAACAUGGUGAUCAACAUCCCUCAUGCUUCUAUUGCCUUAAAGGGAAUAUUCUUCGCACACCUGAUACUCACAGUAUGGAGCAACUUUUGUGGGAGCCUCCCUGAGAGUUUUGUUUUUUACAACACCAUCUUUCUACUAACAAUCAUCUGGAGUCUGCACCAGCGGGAAUCUGAGGAACCUCCAUUUAUGGCUUUGUGCACAAACCUGUUGUCCAUAAUGUUUGACAUAGUGAAUCUUGCAUAUUACUGGCCUUACACAAUGAGUGGAAUGAAGCGCUUUGGAGCAGCCAUGGCCAUCCUGAACUUGUUGCUGCGACCAUUGACGAGCUUCUUACUCUACAGAAUUGUUCAGGAUCGAGCUGGAUCCUAUGGGAGCUUCGGUUUACCCUCAGGUUUUGAGGGUAUAUUUGGUGGUCCCCGACGGAGCCCAUAUGAAGAUAUUGACCAAGCUCCCCAGACUAAUCCCUCAGCGGGAGUGGAUCCAGAAAACAUCCCAACCUCAUCACCCAAUGAAAAUCUUUUCACCACUUAAGUAAAAAAAAAAAAAAAUCCCAGAGUUUUGAGAAAAAAGACUAUCAGUAAUUGUUAAUCAAAGGUAUUAAAUAAAGGAAACCUCAUGUUUGUUUCUAAAGUUUGACUGCCUGACAAACUGAUAGAAGGUAAAGUAAAUUAUUAUUUUUUUUAGCUCUUGAUAUGACUAAAUUACGGACUGAUAAAAUUUAUUUAUUUUUCAUAAGUACUGUACCCUAAAAUACAUGCAGGCUAAAUGAUAAAAAUAUCUCAAGUGCAUGAACUAAGUGAUGGUGAAGGGAUGAUAGGACCAACACAGGAUGAUACUGUACUGACAAAGGAAAUGGUGAUGGUGAUCCUUAUGAAAAUAAAUUUGAUCCAGACAUUCAAGCAAUGUUACCCAACCCCAGUUUAUUACAGUGGGAAUACUGCAGGGGUAGACUGGAGCUGGCAUCCAUACCGGACAGGCUACAGGCCGUCACUGAAAACCAGGGCGGCUGCACUUGCUACUGAAUGGAUAUUUCUCGUGACAACAUAUAUUAUGCAUAGUUAUUAUAAUCUAAAGACUAGAGUGUUUGAAUCAUUGUUUUACCUUUUUGAACUAAAUAUAUACGUACUGAGAUACUGAGUGUAUAUAACAUUAACUAGGCAAUAUUUAUGGUUAACUAUACGAGUGCAGUAUGCCCAGAUAAUUUGCGGAUUUUUAUUUCGAGAUCCUUUAUUAUUCGCUGAUGCUACCCUGAAUGUACCCAAGAAUGUCUGUGGGUAGUUUAAAGUUGCCAGCAUUUUUGCGCCUGGGAGAGGGAGCCAUUCAUUCUAGAGACAGUAAUUUACUUUACCUG